ACCAUGUGAUCCAGCUAUACCACUCCUGAGUAUUUACCAAAAAUAUUCCCUGUCAAUCUGUCACACAGGUACCAGCACACCAGUAUUUACUGCAGCUCUAGUCACAGUACUAAGAUGUACAGAAUUGCACAGGGAUAGAGAGAAGCUCAUCUGUAUACUGCUCUUGUAGAGGACCUGAGUUCCAUUCCCAGGACUCAUAUCAAGAGGAUCACCAAGUACCUGUAACUCCAGCUCCAGGGGUGUGUGUAGAAGAAUACGGGAACAUCAACCAACCAGAAAGAAGACAGAGUACAACUGGCAUCUGCCCUCUAACCUCUGGCUCUUCCCGGGUCACCGAUGCUGUGAGGACCCUGGACUACAAUUCCCGGCAGAGC